GGACGGUGGAUGCCUUGGGAUAUCGAGGCGAUGAAGGACGUGGCGUGCCUGCGAUAAGCUUGGGUGAGGUGGCGAGCAACCUUUGACCCCAAGAUUUCCGAAUGCGUAAACGCGGUUCCGUAAAACGGAAUCACCCGGGCCCAUAAGGGCUUAGGGAGCAAACCCGCUGAAGCGAAACAUCAUAGUAAGCGGAGGAAAAGAAAACACAAUCCUACGCUAAAGCUUCGGAAUUGCAAGUCACUUGUGGUUCCGUAGCCUUGGCGAAGGACCAUUCCCUUAGUAGCGGCGAGCGAAGAGGGAACAGCCCAAACCUAUCUUUUGCUUUGUAAAAGAUAGGGGUUGUAAGACUGUAUCGUCUGGAGCUUUCUUUAGUGUUCCGCGGCGAAUUUAUUCGUUGCGGGAUAUUAAGAAGGAACCGGAGGGAGAACAUUUAGAUAAAGGUUGGUUAGGGGAAAUACCCUGGAAAGGGGUACCAAAGAGGGUAAUAGUCCCGUACCUAAAAAUCCCUUUAUGCUCCUUGAUACUUUUCUUGAGUACCUCGAGGCGAAGAUAACCUUGAGGGAAACAGGCCGGACUAUAGGCCAAGGCUAAAUACUACGAUAUCACCGAUAGUGCACCAGUACCGUGAGGGAAAGGUGAAAAGCAGCCCGAUGAGGGCGGUGAAAUAGAACCUGAAACCGUCACACCCACAAGGAGUCGGAGCCGUCCUUCGCUUUUUGCGUCGCAAAAAGCUUCGGAGCGGUAAACCCCCCGAAUAAAAAUCGUGGGCUUUGCCAAUCCGUAGCUCUUUGUGGAAUAAAGAGCGGAGGAUGGUGACGGCGUGCCUAUUGAAGAAUGAGCCAACGACUUUCUCGUCUAACUUUGUCUAAUCCCGUUUCGGGAGGAGGCUCAGCGAAAGCGAGCGUUAAAAGCGCGCAAUAUUAAGUUAGGCGAGAAGACCCGAAGCCAAGCGAGCUUGCCAUGGCCAGGAUGAAUUCCCGGCGCUUCGUUUUGUUAGGUGGGGGUAGAGCACUGAAUGGAUUACCGUGGCAUUUUUGUCAGGUAGUUCAAUCAAACUCCGAAUACCGCCGAACUUAUAACGAGGCAGUAAGACUGUGGGGGCUAAGCUCCAUAGUCAAAAGGGAAACAGCCCAGAUCUUCAUCUAAGGUCCCUAAACCGGGCUCAGUGUGAAAGGAAGUGGAAUUCCUCAGAUAGCUAGGAGGUUCGCUUAGAAGCAGCUAUCCUCUAAAAAGUGCGUAAUAGCUUACUAGCUAAGGAAUUCUGCGCCGAAGAUUUACCGGGGCUUAAGCUCGGUACCGAAGAUAAGGACUAUGUUGACUUCGGUUAACGUAGUGGUAGGGGAGCGUUUUCAGCGCGAUGAAGCUUCGUUGUGAAGCGGAGUGGAGCGCUGAGAAGUGAGAAUGUUGGCAUGAGUAACCACAAGGCAGGUGAAAUCCCUGCCCACCGUAAGCCCAAGGUUUCCUUCGCAAUGACCGUCAGCGAAGGGUGAGGCGACCCUUAGUCCGCAACCGAAAGGUUGGGAUGAUGGACAGCCGGUUAAUAUUCCGGCCCUUCCGUUCAUUUCCGAAACAGCGACGCAGUGGAGUAGUUGAGAGGGAUUAUCGGAUUUCCCAUCCCGCUUCGGCGGGAGUUCUCAAUGAAUUCGUUGCCUAGAAAAACUGUUAGGGUUAAAUGGGCGGAAUUCGUACCGCAAACCGACACAGGUGGGCUGGCGUAAGUGCGCCAAGGUGAACGGGUGAAACCUCGUUAAGGAACUCGGCAAAAAAGCAGCUGUAAGUUCGCAAUAAAGCUUGCCCUGCCCGCGAGGGUUAGGGCCGCAGCUAAAGUCUCUCUGGCGACUGUUUAUCAAAAACACAGGUCCCUGCUUAACUCGUAAGAGGAUGUAUAGGGGCUGACGCCUGACCAGUGCUGGAAUGUUAAAGGCGGCGGUCGUCCUUCGCUCUUUGCUUCACAAAGAGCUUCGGAACGACAAGUUUUUCUGUAUUUUAGAAAAGCUUGCCAUUCCGUAGCUCCGAACGGAGCAAGGAGCGGAGGAUGGCUGACUGCCCGAAGCACCAGUGAACGUCCGCGAUAACUAUAAUCGUGUUAAAGUAGCGUAAUCCCUUGCCGGGUAAGUUCCGGCCCGCAUGAAAGGCGUAACGACUGGAGAACUGUCUCAACGAGGCGCCCGGUGAAAAUGCAGCACCGGUAAAGAUGCCGGUUUCCUGCGGCUAGACGGAAAGACCCCGGAAGCUUUACUGUAGGGUGGUAUUGAGCCCUGGGUUUAGAUGCGUAGCGUAGCGGGUAGGCUUUGAAGUUCGUCUUUUGGGGCGAAUGGAGCCGCCAAUGAAACACCCGUCUUUUAAAUUCUUAGUUCUAACUCCGCCUGAAAUGGCGGAAAACAGUGCCACUUGGGCAGUUUUAGUGGGGCGCUAGCCUCCUAAAAGGUAACGGAGGCGUUUAUAAGGUCGGCUAAGGCCGGAUGGAAAUCGGCCGUGUCGGGUAAAGCCACAAGCCGGCUUAACUGCAAGGCGGAUAUGCCGCGCAGAUGCGAAAGCAGAACUUAGUGAACCGACCCUUUGUCGUAGAAAAGGGGAAGAUCAUCAACCAAAAGCUACUCCGGGGAUAACAGGCUAGUAGGGCCCGCGAGUCCACAUCAACGGCUCUGUUCGGCACCUCGAUGUCGGCUCAUCACAUCCUGGGGGUGGAGAAGCUCCCAAGGGUUUGGCUGUUCGCCAAUUAAAGUGGUACGUGAGCUGGGUUCAAACCGUCGUGAGACAGGUUGGUCCCUUUCUACCGCAGGCAUUGAGUCUUGAGGGGAGUCGUUCCUAGUACGAGAGGACCGGAACGAACUGACCUCUGGUGUACCUGCUGUCCUGCCAAGGGCAUUGCAGGGUAGCUAAGUCGGGCCAGGAUAAGAGCUGAAAGCAUCUAAGCUCGAAGCCAACCCCAAGAUUAGGACUCUUAGGUCGGUCAGAGAACAUGACCUCAUAGGGCGCAGGUGGAAGCGCGGUAACGCGUUAAGCCGAGCGCUCCUAAUCGACCA
rnacentral:rRNA from 1 species